GAUGAACGCUGGCGGCGUGCCUAAUACAUGCAAGUCGAGCGAACAGACGAGGAGCUUGCUCCUCUGACGUUAGCGGCGGACGGGUGAGUAACACGUGGAUAACCUACCUAUAAGACUGGGAUAACUUCGGGAAACCGGAGCUAAUACCGGAUAAUAUAUUGAACCGCAUGGUUCAAUAGUGAAAGACGGUUUUGCUGUCACUUAUAGAUGGAUCCGCGCCGCAUUGGCUAGUUGGUAAGGUAACGGCUUACCAAGGCAACGAUGCGUAGCCGACCUGAGAGGGUGAUCAGCCACACUGGAACUGAGACACGGUCCAGACUCCUACGGGAGGCAGCAGUAGGGAAUCUUCCGCAAUGGGCGAAAGCCUGACGGAGCAACGCCGCGUGAGUGAUGAAGGUCUUCGGAUCGUAAAACUCUGUUAUUAGGGAAGAACAAAUGUGUAAGUAACUAUGCACGUCUUGACGGUACCUAAACAGAAAGCCACGGCUAACUACGUG
rnacentral:rRNA from 1 species